UUAAGGCUGGGAAGAAAGGUUGGACAAAAAAUUAACUGUCUCGAGCAAAAAUAUUGAAUUUAACUUUUAAGUGAAAAGGCUUAAAUUUUCUAGGGGGACGAUAAGACCCUAUAAAACUUUAUAUUUUAAAAAUAUUAACUAGUUUUGUAUAAGAGGUUUUUUUUUGAGUAUUUUAUUGGGGUGAUAGGGAUAUAAUAAAAGAUAACUGUCUCUUUUUUUUUUACAGAGAUAUUUGAGUAAAUGAUCCUAAUAAGGGAAAGAAGGUUAAGUUACUUUAGGGAUAACAGCGUAAUUUUCUUUAAAA
rnacentral:rRNA from 1 species